rnacentral:rRNA from 1 species
GAGUUUGAUUCUGGCUCAGAACGAACGCUGGCGGCGCGUCUUAAGCAUGCAAGUCGAACGGCAAGAGAGAAGCUUGCUUCUCUCCUAGAGUGGCGGACUGGUGAGGAACGCGUGGGUAAUCUGCCCUUAAGAUGGGGAUAGCCGUUAGAAAUAGCGGGUAAUACCGAAUACACUCACUUUCACACAAGCGGAAGUGAGGAAAGGAAGCUAAGGCUUCGCUUAAGGAUGAGCCUGCGUCCCAUUAGCUUGUUGGUAAGGUAACGGCUUACCAAGGCGACGAUGGGUAUCCGGCCUGAGAGGGUGAACGGACACAUUGGGACUGAGAUACGGCCCAAACUCCUACGGGAGGCAGCAGCUAAGAAUAUUCCGCAAUGGACGGAAGUCUGACGGAGCGACGCCGCGUGGAUGAAGAAGGCUGAAAAGUUGUAAAAUCCUUUUGCCGAUGAAGAAUAAUGAUAAGAGGGAAUGCUUAUCAGAUGA